ensembl:lncRNA
GGGCUGGAGACAGGAGGAGAGGGGCUGGAGACAGGAGGAGAGGGGCUGGAGACAGGAGGAGAGGGGCUGGAGACAGGAGGAGAGGGGCUGGAGACGGAGAGGAGAGGGGCUGGAGACAGGAGGAGAGGAGAGGGGCUGGAGACAGGAGGAGAGGAGAGGGGCUGGAGACAGGAGGAGAGGAGAGGGGCUGGAGACAGGAGGAGAGGAGAGUGGCUGGAGACAGGAGGAGAGGAGAGUGGCUGGAGACAGGAGGAGAGGAGAAGGGCUGGAGACAGGAGGAGAGGAGAGGGGCUGGAGACAGGAGGAGAGGAGAGUGGCUGGAGACAGGAGGAGAGGAGAGGGGCUGGAGACAGGAGGAGAGGAGAAGGGCCGGAGCUAGCAGAAGAGGAGCUGGAGACAGGAGGAGAGGACUGGGGCUAGAGACCAGAGGAGAGGGGGCUGCAGUGUGGAGCCCAGCCCAGGGGUGGCCAGGAGAUGGACAAUUGGACCUACUAUAACUGACCAGGGUGUUGCCAUGGAGACAGGUCGGAACAGAGGGCAGAUUCAUUGCAAGACUCUUAUUGGUUGUUAGUUAUUUGUUUUCUAUUCUGUUAAGUGUUGACACCACAUGAACUAUUUAAAGACUUUAAUGUAUGAUGAUGUGAAGGACUUACCUGCAGAAGCUCUCUGUAUCCCCCCUCUCUCUGACUAAACUUCUUAACUAUCAUUAUAAACACAUUACCAUCACAAUAGGAAGAAGGGUUUGACUAAACGGCUGAACAGCUUUUACCCAGGUCUUUUGGGCCUUCAUUGUGACCACACGACUUAGAUAUUUGUUACUGUCUGUAUUCUGUUGUUGAGCCAGACCAAAGGGGGCCAACCAAGUCGUUAGUCUGCCAAGACCUGGCCUGUGUCCCAAAUUGGUCCUGGUCUAAAGUAGUGCACUACAAAGGGAAUAGGCUUCCAUUGGGUCCUGGUCUAAAGUAGUGCACUACAAAGGGAAUAGGGUUCCAUUGGGGACAUAGACCUGUUCAUAAUUUUAACUUUCUGUUGCCAAGUAUGUUGAUCCAUUAACUGAAAGCUUGGUGACCUGUUUUACCAAACUCUCGCUUUGGCCAGAUUCCACCCCAAAGUCUGUCGUUGUCAAACACGACUGAUCAUAAAGUGUGUACAUUCCAGAUGUUUUAAUGUCAGACAUUCAGGUUAACACACUCUGUCCUGGACAAAGAUCGAGAGACACUCCCUUGCCUAUGGUCAAUCUACAGUUAUGGUCUAUAGAUGGCCUGAAUUGCUUACAGGAGGUGUAUUGAUGGCAUUAAUGCAAUUGAUGGGCA